rnacentral:rRNA from 1 species
GACGAACGCUGGCGGCGUGCUUAACACAUGCAAGUCGAACGGAAAGGCCCUGCUUUUGUGGGGUUCUCGAGUGGCGAACGGGUGAGUAACACGUGAGUAACCUGCCCUUGACUUUGGGAUAACUUCAGGAAACUGGGGCUAAUACCGGAUAUGAUCUCCUGCUGCAUGGUGGGGGUUGGAAAGUUUCGGCGGUUGGGGAUGGACUCGCGGCUUAUCAGCUUGUUGGUGGGGUAGUGGCUUACCAAGGCUUUGACGGGUAGCCGGCCUGAGAGGGUGACCGGCCACAUUGGGACUGAGAUACGGCCCAGACUCGUACGGGAGGCAGCAGUGGGGAAUAUUGCACAAUGGGCGGAAGCCUGAUGCAGCAACGCCGCGUGCGGGAUGACGGCCUUCGGGUUGUAAACCGCUUUCGCCUGUGACGAAGCGUGAGUGACGGUAAUGGGUAAAGAAGCACCGGCUAACUACGUG